CUCUCCUCUCAUUCUUCCUCUCACUCGCUCCCCCCGGCUGUUGCUUCUUCUCACUCACCUUCUCCCGACCUUCCGAGCAACAAUAAAGAACUGAAGUGAACCAGGUCUGUGUACGUAUCGCUGUCAUCACCGCCACAAGGAGCGAACGUGAUAUCUGGUGCCGAAACCCGGGAAUUUUUUUCCAACCACCCAGAGGAGAAACUGGCGGAUGUGGACGCCAUAGAGUUUCUUACCCUGAAGCAGUACCUGUGGACCCCAUUUGGAAGGAUUGCUCGGGAAGGCGCCUCAGAGGAGAAGGGACCGAAACAAUCCCAUCUGGGUGCCUGAACGCCUGACACGGAGAGUGGCAAGACCAGAACCGGAAGUGCGAGAUGCCGACCCCACUGAUGCUCAUCCUGCUACUGAUCCUUCAGCAGGCGAUAGCGGAACCCAGAGAACUAUGGGGUCUGGUGAAGGCUUGGCCUCUACCACUCCCGGUGACUGAAACUGCACAUACCUUUCCUGCCUUUUUCUCUACCUAUAGUACACUUAAUCUCCCAUAUCUGCCCUUUGACAGCUCUAUGUGUUACUGGCAUUCCUUUUCAUAACCUCUCUAAAGCUGCCAAUCUGUCCAGGGAAUUAGGCAAGAUGUUAUCCACCAAUUGGUCCAGUGAGUUUGACGUGCUCACCACUCAGCUACGGCUAGAAAUAUUGAAUGUUAGUUCCCAAAAGGUAGAGGCGCUGUCUGUAGCUCAGUUUGCUGAAGCCGUGCUAAAUGCCACCAAAGCCUGGUCAGGCAUGAGUGUUAUGGGUAUAUUACUCCUUGUAGGUCUUCUCCUACUUGGGAGAAAAGUCUGUUCCAUGCAACGGCAACAUCGGGAAGUGCAGAUGGCUCUGGUGCAGGCCAUGGCAGCUAUAGAGGAAGGCAUCUCCCCUAGGGUGUGGCUCAAUAUGUUGGACCAGUAGUCAAAGACGGGUAAGAUCAGGAGGUAAGCAUACCAACCUAAGACAGGGCGCAGACCUUAGCUGUCUGUUGCCCUAUGACGGGUAAGGAUGCUGUGCCUCCCUGACAACCUAAGACAGGCAUGGUCCCCGAGCCUCAUUGUGUUAAAAAACAAAAAAGGGGGAGAUGUAGGGGCCGGCCUACGGCCGAGGCUGAGUCCCACUAUGGCUGAACACCGCCCUUCCACUGUAGCUGACCAACGCCCUAAGAUGGCGCCCGCUUCCUGGGCACCACCCUUCCUGGUUUGGUGGCAUUAGCAUAAGGAAGUUGUUCCUAUAGGCUUGCCCCAUGCUUCCGCGCUCGUGCUCAACUCAUGCAGAAGGCAUGCUAACAAUCAGCUCACGCAUGAUCUUGAUCACCAUAGGCCAGCUUCCUUUAUAUAAGGCAUAAGCAGGAAAGAGAAGGACUCUGACUCUCUCUCUCUCUCUCUCUCUCUCUCUCUCUCUCUCUUAUUUGUGAAUCAUUGAUUAAAUACGCAGAUGGUCCAUUACCCAUAAAUGAGGCAUUGAGUUGUUAUUCACAGGUCACAUGUUAACCCGUUACUGGGAAUGGAAUACAUCAAACUGCUUUAUGCACCCUCCAGCCCUUUAAGGGUUGGGAUACAAAAGUUACUCAGAAAGGAAAGAACUUCUGAAUGAUAGGCCCAAUCUAAGCACAAGCACAGAAACUCUGUGACUGAGAUUGAGAAACUCAAAAAAGUCCUGAAAACAAAAUACAUUUUUGCUCCUAAUUAUUUCCUCCUACUCCAUGACUUUGUUUCAUCACUUACUUCCUCUGCUAGUGGGUCUUCAAAGUUUUCCCUCAGAUAGGAUUCUGUCCUAGCCCAUAAAUGUGAGCAUCUCCCCAUUUUAUAUUCAUGUACUUUACCUGUCAUCUUGGAAUAGAAGUCUGCACCUACUGCUGUCAGUCCUCAGUCCAAUGCAAUCCAACUUUCAUUUGUACCACUCUACCGAAAUUUUUCUUAUAAAGAUUGUCAGAUUGCUUAUCUGCCCAAAUGAAUUUUUUCUUGUGCUUAAUUUCACUGCAGCAUUUACUCCCUUGCUGACUCACCUACUUUAAUGGUGUACUACCCCCUGUCCAUUGAUGCCUCCCAAGUCAAUUUACAACUACUUAGUAGAUGUCUACACUUACAGCAUCUAACACUAUUCAUUAAAUGUUGUAUAUCUAAAAUCAAGCUCAUAAUCCUCCAUACUUCUUUGGUUUUCUGGCUCAAUGAACGAUUAAUACAGAGCCUCCCUAGUAGGAAACCAACUCCAUCUCAUCUUAAUUGUCUUCUCUUAUUCCACUCAUUCAACUGGCCAUCAAAUCUCUUUUCUCCAUCCACAAUCCACUGCCUUAGGUCAGGGCAUCAGCAUUUCUUAAAAGGACCUGCCUCUCUUUAAUUUCCAGAGCUGUGCUAGUCUAUCCACCUGGGGCCUGCUGGAGUUCCCACCUGAGAAGAUACAUCUGGUAAAGACACCACCCUAUUCACGAACUUUCAGUUUCUCCUUGAAGGUUGCUUUCAGGUUAUAUCCAAGUUCACUGAUGUAAGACCCUUCACCACGUGAUGAGCACGAUCUGAUCUCCCCAGCCUUAUCUUCAUGCAUUUCAGGCACACUGGACCAAUCUUCAUCCUCUAAGCAAACCAAGUUCACUUGAACACUGCAACCUUAAUUGCAGGCCCUGAGUGUUCUCUUUAUACGUCCUUAAUCACAGAACAUAACAUCUGAGUAAUUACACAUCCUGGGUCAGUGUUUGUUGAAGGAAUUAACCAUGAAUCUUGGAUGCUGGUUCUUCAACAAGACAUUAAUUAUGAAUUAAGUAAGUAAAAGAAUUAUAAAAGAUAUGCCUCCUUUAAAAAAAUCACUUUUUUUUUUGGACAAGGAGAGGCAAAUAAUUGCCUGCUAACCUGACAUUCUGCCAAUAACAUCGUCAUUUUCAAAUCUUGUUCAGUUCAUGUCAGACUGUCAAAAAACAGCUGACAAUGCCUUCCCCCCAACAUUUUCUGAAAUACCUUUAUGUAGAAAAAUACAUUAAUGAGCUCAUUCUAAACAUGAUCAUCAUACCUCAGUUUUCCAUAGAUAACCACAACACAUGAACCAUUCCUUGUAAGAACAUCCUGUGUAGGACUGUUGAAGUAAAUAGAGAUUUAAGAUUAGCUAAACUGAGAGUCACAUCAUGUGAGUUCCUAUAUCUGUUUAGAGGUUAGUUUAGAAAGCAUUUGUAAGGGGAAGGGAGAAAAAACCCGACCUCUUAAAAUUUACAAGAAAUUCUCACUCAUUGUCAUAAUGGAAGUUCCCAAAUUUCUCAAAUGUGUCUGUUCUAUGUAAUCUCUGGUGGCAUAAAAACAUUUUCUGGAAAAUAUUAUGAAACUGAAGAAGCCUCUGAUGCCACUGCCAAAACCUACAAUAACUUGUAGUGAUCAGGUUAUCCUCACAAACAGGUGCCACCACGAAGGGCUCUGGCUUCUCCCCCUUCAAGUAACAUUUCUAAACCUUUCCUGUAUCUCUCUGAUUUCUGUUCUCAGCGAUAUGGGGCUAAAAAUAUAAUGCCUGUUAUGAGAUGAUAAUAUGCUGAUGGUAUGUACAAUCAUGUAAAGAUCAGUUUCUCUUGGUAAUAAUGUUGAACUGUAUAUGUUUUUUUCAAUAAACUUGCAUUAACCGUU